GAUGAACGCUGGCGGCGUGCCUAAUACAUGCAAGUCGAGCGAAUGGAUUAAGAGCUUGCUCUUAUGAAGUUAGCGGCGGACGGGUGAGUAACACGUGGGUAACCUGCCCAUAAGACUGGGAUAACUCCGGGAAACCGGGGCUAAUACCGGAUAACAUUUUGAACCGCAUGGUUCGAAAUUGAAAGGCGGCUUCGGCUGUCACUUAUGGAUGGACCCGCGUCGCAUUAGCUAGUUGGUGAGGUAACGGCUCACCAAGGCAACGAUGCGUAGCCGGCCUGGGAGGGUGAUCGGCCACACCGGGACUGAGACACGGCCCAGACUCCUACGGGAGGCAGCAGGAGGGAAUCUUCCGCAAUGGACGAAAGUCUGACGGAGCAACGCCGCGUGAGUGAUGAAGGCUUUCGGGUCGUAAAACUCUGUUGUUAGGGAAGAACAAGUGCUAGUUGAAUAAGCUGGCACCUUGACGGUACCUAACCAGAAAGCCACGGCUAACUACGUGCCAGCAGCCGCGGUAA
rnacentral:rRNA from 1 species